rnacentral:rRNA from 1 species
AGCGGCGGACGGGUGAGUAACACGUAGGAAUCUGCCUGAUAGAGGGGGAUAGCCCGGAGAAAUCCGGAUUAAUACCGCAUACGCCCUAAGGGGGAAAGCAGGGGAUCUUCGGACCUUGCGCUAUCAGAGGAGCCUGCGUCGGAUUAGCUAGUUGGUGGGGUAAAGGCCUACCAAGGCGACGAUCCGUAGCUGGUCUGAGAGGAUGAUCAGCCACAUUGGGACUGAGACACGGCCCAAACUCCUACGGGAGGCAGCAGUGGGGAAUAUUGCACAAUGGGGGAAACCCUGAUGCAGCUAUGCCGCGUGUGCGAAGAAGGCCUUAGGGUUGUAAAGCACUUUCAGCGAGGAGGAAAGGGUGUAGGUUAAUACCCUGCAUCUGUGACGUUACUCGCAGAAGAAGCACCGGCUAACUCCGUGCCAGCAGCCGCGGUAAUACGGAGGGUGCAAGCGUUAAUCGGAAUUACUGGGCGUAAAGCGUGCGUAGGCGGCAAUCUAAGUGGGAUGUGAAAGCCCCGGGCUUAACCUGGGAACUGCAUCCCAAACUGGGUAGCUAGAGUAUGGCAGAGGAGUGUGGAAUUUCCUGUGUAGCGGUGAAAUGCGUAGAUAUAGGAAAGAACACCAGUGGCGAAGGCGACACUCUGGGCUGAUACUGA